rnacentral:lncRNA from 1 species
UGUGAUCCUUUCCUGAUUGGUAGGGUUCUUCCGAGUCUCAUGCUGAUGAAGCAUCACUUGGGUGGUAUUGGUCACCACUACAUCAUUUUACUUACUAGAUUCAGUUUGCUCUGUCAUCAGUUCCUUGUUAGGUACCUGAGUCUUCUUAACAAUCCAUUCUUGUUUAGCAGCUUUAGGUUUCUUUUUCCCUCUGAGAUCCUGCCUCUUUGCCUUGCCCUCUUUCUUUUAUUCCAUCUCAGCCUCAUUGUUAGUAUUAUACCAACAAUCAAUAGAAUCAUGACCAAAUUUUAAGCAAUGAUUACAGAAUAGAGGCUUCCAAUCAUAUUCAAUCUGUUGAACCUUAAGCCCAAAUGGAGUUUCAAUCUCUAACUGAUUUGGAAGAGGAUGAGCAGCAUCAACCUCCACUAGAACUCGAGCAUAAAUUUUUUUUUAUACUAAGCUGUGAACUUGUCUAUAUACAAUUGAUUACCCACAGCACUAGCCAUCUUACUCAACACAUCAGCAGAUCAGUAUCCCACAGGUAGCCCGGAAAAUCUAAUCCAUACUGGAAUUGUACUUAAAACGUCAUUCUUGAAGGAAAAAUCAAUCUCCCAAGGUCUCAAUACCAGCGGUUUGUUUCUAUGUGAAUAUGGUCCAGAUUGGAUAACUUGAUCUCUGUCAGCAAUCGAAUUAAAUCGGAAAAUGCAGUAACCCUCAGAAUGAAUAAGAUCUAGGGUUUAGAGAUAAAAUUCCACACAUGCAACACAAAUUUAUCCAUAGCUUGCUCAAAUGGAGCCUCUCCAAUAACAUAUCCUAUUAAGGAGGUUUUCCAGUAGUCGAUCUGGGCCUUCAAAUCGUCCUCGCUUAACUUGACAAUCUUCUUACCAUCUCUGUCAGUGGGUGUCACAAAUGAUAGUGUUUACCCAUUUGAGCACUACGAUUUCCUUGCACAACCUCAGCUGCAGUUCGAGAGAGCACUUCUGUUCUAUUGGCCUCAGAAACUUGAAAUCGGCUCUCAGCUUGACUAGUAUCUCCAUCUGGUUUGCUUUUCGGAGGUUGCAUUGCAUCUCCAUCACAUUCAGCUUCAUGAAUCUCCUCAAUUGCUUGGAAUUUCAAAGGAAGAAAACUUCCAAAUGUCAGCGGUUCUCGUGCUUUAGCAGCAUCAUGGUCAGGGGUUUGAACAAUAGCGGCGGGUGCACUUUUCCGGCGGCGAGCCAUUUUCGGGCACAAUGACAGUCUUUGCUAUCGUGCGCCGAGAGUAUUUUCUAUCGUGCGCCUUUCGCUAAAAGCUCGGUCUUAUCAAAGAUUGUCUAUAGGUAAAGUUACUAUACUUUG